GCCGGAUUAGCUUCAAUUGGUAGAGCAUCUGAUUUGUAAUCAGGGGGUUGUCAGUUCGAUUCUGACAUCCGGCA
rnacentral:tRNA from 1 species